rnacentral:ncRNA from 1 species
UUUGCCUCAAACACACAGAUGUCAUCCCAGUGCCCAGACACUGGGAUCCAGAAAAAUUAAUUGUAAACAAAUGACUAUACAACAUUUUCAAUAAAAUCACAAAAAAGCUGGAUUCCAGUGUCAAGCACUGAACAUUUGCUGUGCAAUUU